AGGGGGUUAGCAUAGCUGGCCUAAUGCAUCGGGCUUUGAACUCGACAUCGGAGGUUCGAAUCCUCCACCCCCUG
rfam:Salmonella phage PVP-SE1, complete genome.